rnacentral:tRNA from 2 species
GCCCCCGUAGCUCAGUGGAUAGAGUACCGGCCUCCGGAGCCGGGAGCCCGCGUUCGAAUCGCGGCGGGGGUA